rnacentral:rRNA from 1 species
UGGGGAAUAUUGGACAAUGGGCGGAAGCCUGAUCCAGCAACGCCGCGUGAGGGAUGACGGCCUUCGGGUUGUAAACCUCUUUCAGCACAGACGAAGCGCAAGUGAUGGUAUGUGCAGAAGAAGGACCGGCCAACUACGUGCCAGCAGCCGCGGUAAUACGUAGGGUCCGAGCGUUGUCCGGAAUUAUUGGGCGUAAAGGGCUCGUAGGCGGUUUGUCGCGUCGGGAGUGAAAACACCGGGCUUAACUCGGUGCUUGCUUUCGAUACGGGCAGACUAGAGGCAUUCAGGGGAGAACGGAAUUCCUGGUGUAGCGGUGAAAUGCGCAGAUAUCAGGAGGAACACCGGUGGCGAAGGCGGUUCUCUGGGAAUGUCCUGACGCUGAGGAGCGAAAAGUGUGGGGAGCGAACAGGAUUAGAUACCCUGGUAGUCCACACCGUAAAACGUUGGGCGCUAGGUGUGGGAUCCAUUCCACGGGUUCCGUGCCGCAGCUAACGCAUUAAGCGCCCCGCCUGGGGAGUACGGCCGCAAGGCUAAAACUUAAAUGAAUUGACGGGGUCAU